CAGGGCAUGAAUCACAAAGAACCAGGCAGGGCCAGGAACUAUUCCUAGGAACAGAGACUUUAGGACAUCCUCUAGCCACUGCUAAGAGGUCACCCCAGGCAGAGAGGAAGCCUGCCAUGUGGUAACUGCUUAUUUUCACUCAUUAUUUCUGGUAACUUGGUCAUUAAAGUUACUUGUUUCACCAUGAUUGACAGCUGAAAAAACCUAUUUAUGUAUAUAUAUAUAUUUGCAAACUUUGACAUGUAAAUGCUCAUGCUAGGAAUUUAACAAUCAGCUCUUGCUAGCUAAUUCAAGGUGGGUCCAGCACAUCCCUAGGGUUUAUCAGACAGGGGACUGGCAUGGUCAAACCUCAUGAAAUGCCUCAGAAAUCUCAUUCUGGCAGCUGUAGAGAGUAUGGAUUGAAGAGGAGAGAGGCUUGCAGUGGGAGAGAAUUACCGUCCAUUACAAUAUUCCAGCUCCAGCUUCUUCUAUGAGAAAUCCAAUUCCUGCUACAGUGAAAACCUGCCAAUCCUUGUGGCUGAGAAGGUCCAUCUAUAGAGAUGAAGGCAACUUUGAUAUCACAGGGAAUGCAGAGAAAGGAUAGGUCUGGGAUGAGCUCAGAGGUAAAGGAGAGACAUAUAUUCUCAUAUGACCUAGGGAGAAGACUUUACAAAGAUGGAGCCAUCAAAAAGAAAAAAGAGAAAUUCUCAAAAUUUCUCCUCAAAGAGGGACUGGAACCAUGAGUGUCCUCCAAAGCAGAAAGCAAGAAGAUCUCUUUUCACCCCAGCUCUGCUCCUGAGGGAGGAUAAGAAAUAGAAAGGUGAGACCUGGGUGUACCUGUUGGCAACAUUUACGUUGGAGUAAAUGGAGAGUCAUGCAUGACCAGAUGAGACCUGAUCACAGACACCAGGCAUGUAUUUAUCCACCAUUACUCAAUGAUGGGCCUCCUCUUCCUUGGUUAUUCAUCAAUUAGGAGAGGUCUUGGGAUGUCUAAAGGAAAGGCCAAAUGAGGGGCUUCCAAAAUUGUAUUUAAGGAAUCUGUGAGGCUGGAACUUCCUGGUCUUUGAUCACGGAGAAAGAUCAAUGACCAAUGAAUGUAUUGGUUAUUGCUGGUCUAAAUAAUAAAUUGACUUUCUUACCUGGAA